UGCGGCAGCUAGCUCUCUGCAACUCACAUUGUCUACCACUAAAGCUGAACAGGGCUGUGCCUGGUCAGUACCUGGAUGGGAGACUACAUGGGAAAGCUAGGUUGCUGCUGGAA
rnacentral:rRNA from 1 species